GUCCCUCUGGAGAGAUACCAGGAUCCCGAAGGUGAUUUUUCCAGGGUGAGGCUUAUCUAUUUUACUCCAGAGAUGCUGCCCCUGUGAUUUCUUCCAAUGUAGGAAACUCAACUGCAUAAUUUGUGGUAGUGAGAGACUGCAUUUGUGCCCUCCCUGG